ensembl:lncRNA
CAUUACCUUUCUUUUGAUUGGAAUGAAAACUGACCUUUUCCAGUCCUGUGGCUGCUGCUAAGUUUUCCAAAUUUGCUGGCACGUUGACUUCAGGACUUUAACAGCGUCAUCUUUCAGGAUGUGAAUUAGCUCAGCUGGAAUUCCAUCACCUCAACUAGCUUUGUUCAUAGUGAUGGUUUCUAAGGCCCACUUGACUUCGCACUCCAGGAUGUCUGGCUCUACUCUCUCCAUUGUUCACGACAUGAAUUUUAGUACUUUGUCUACCUACCUGACUCUUCAAAAGGAAACUACACUUCUGGAAACAGUCAUGGAAGAAGGAAAGCAUAAGGCAUCCUUUGAAGACGUGAUCACUGAUUGUACCAGAAAGAAAUACACAGAUCAGCAAAGCUGAUCCUGUCUGAUACAAAACACUAUAACUAAGAGAAGGUCCACUGGAGAAUAAAAUUUUUAAUCCAAUUAUGAUCAGAAGAAUGAGAAAACAAACUACAAACCGGGAGAAAAUAUUUGCAAAAGACACGUCUAAUCAGGGAUUGUUAUCCAAAAUAUACAAAGAACUCUCAUAACUCAAGAAUAAAAAAACAAACAACCUAAUUAAAAAAUGGACCAAAGACCUUAACAGACAUCUCAUCAAAGGAGAUACACAGAUGGCAAAUCAGCAUAUGAAAAGAUGCUCUUUAUCGUAUGUCAUCAGGGAAAUGCAAAUUAAGACAACACUGAGAUACCACUACACACCUGUUAGAAUGACCAAAACCUGGGGCAGUGGCAACACCAAAUGCUAGUGAAGAUGUGGAGUGACAGGGACUCUCAUUCAUUUCUAGUGGGAAUCAAAAAUGGUACCAACUCUGGAAGACAUUUUGAUGAUUUCUUAGAAGGCCAAGCAGAUUCUUAUCCUACAAUCCAGCAGUUG